AAGUCGUAACAAGGUAGCCGUAUCGGAAGGUGCGGCUGGAUCACCUCCUUUCUAAGGAGCCAUGUUCACUCUGGAAGUGAGCAUAUCCUAAGGUCGAUGCUUUGAAGGACGUCACGGAAGAGAUGAAGUGAAACGGUUCAAAGCUGGAGAAGUCUAUAGAGACUUCGAAGUGCCGAAGAGGCAAAGCAGGGGAAAUCUGCAUAAGAUGACCCUGAAGUCGAGUCAAACCUGUUCAAGCGCAAGCUUACUUGUUGUUUAGUUUUGAGAGACCAUAAAGUCUUCUAUGGGCUUAUAGCUCAGCUGGUUAGAGCGCACGCCUGAUAAGCGUGAGGUCGGUGGUUCGAGUCCACCUAGGCCCACCAUUAUUCAAAGAGGAUAGAGACCCGAACCUCCAAACAAUACUUCACGCCAGAACAUACCUAACAGGGGUGAGUAUUGAGAGGGGAGCGGCUCCCCUCUCAACGACAUGGGGGUAUAGCUCAGCUGGGGGAGCACCUGCCUUGCAAGCAGGGGGUCAGCGGUUCGAUCCCGCUUACCUCCACCAUCAUAUACUGGUUUCUCUAAUGUUCUUUGAAAACUGCACAGAGAAGAAAAAACUGUAAUUUAGGAUAACAUCUGAAAAACCUGAAUGUGGCGGAGACGGUUGGUCAAGCUACUAAGGGCGUACGGUGGAUGCCUAGGCGCUAAGAGUCGAAGAAGGACGCGGCGAGCGGCGAAACGCCACGGGGAGCAGUAAGCAUGCCUUGAUCCGUGGAUAUCCGAAUGGGGCAACCCA
rnacentral:misc_RNA from 1 species